GCCCAGAUAGCUCAGCUGGUAGAGCAAGGGACUGAAAAUCCCUGUGUCGGUGGUUCGAACCCGCCUCUGGGCACCA
rnacentral:tRNA from 2 species